CCACAGUCAGUCUGCUACAGCAGCACAACAUCAUCCAUCAUUGUGGGACUGUAUGGGGACAACAUCCUGGUGUUCAGAGUGGAAUAGUAAACAUGUUAUGUAUGUGCAAGAAAUUAUGUUAUGUGCUGUAACUAUUGUACAAAUAUUUGUGUGCGGACUAAAUAUUUGCUUGUGUGUCACUCAAGUACCUCUUUAUAUGAAUUCUUUUUGAAAUUGGCCAGUCUAUCAACCAGUGGAAAUGUAAGAGAAUACACAUUCAAUCUGCAAUAUGUCAGCAAGUCCUCAUCCAGCUGUUCACUGAACAGGCUACAACUGAUAUCAUAAGAUUGUGGCAAUUAUUUCAACAGUAAUGAAUGUCAUCAUUGAAUAAAAAACACCUUUGUUGUGAACAUAAUUGAAAUGCCCCGUGCUUUAAUAUGAUAAUCUUGUAUACGAGAAGGAAACUGCUGAUUAUGUGCCCUGAACGUUGAUAUAGACUGCUCGCAUAUUGAUGCUCGUGCUGCAUUGACAUACAGGAUAAAUAAAUAAUCAGUUUUCUUACAUGAAGAAAGGCCAGGUACUUUACAAUCCAUCUGAAUAACAGACACCGCAAGGACAAUAUGCAAUUCAGGUAGAUACAUCUCCAAGCUGUGGAGGUAAUUUCCUUUCACUGCCAAGAACCAUACAUGAAUUAAAACACAAUACUGUUAAUACGAACUAUCAAUGUGGAUCCACAGUUACCAGUCCAGCCCUCAUGGAUUCAUAGACAGCAAAGCCGUCAGCCAAGUUGACCAGCUAAGCCACACUCAAGCCCCUGACUGGCUGUUACAGACUCAUGUGACUUACGAAAUGGCAGUGGACACCAAACCAGACUAAAAGACCAAACAUGCACCGUCAGCUCCUGUCCCAACCCAUGUCCCCAAAGUGAAAUCUGAUCAGGAAAUGCAUAAGGUUUUAAUCCUAGAUAAACAUAGUCAAUCUGACAAUCAUCGGGGAUACUUGGCGAUGCUCCAUUUCCGGACAGCACUAGUCCUCACAUCCAGGACCCUGAUAGAGCAAGCGCGACAAACUGCAGAGCACUUCAACAACAACAAUCACCUCAGUAGGGUUUGCAACAUGACAAUGGAGGAAACUGAGUGCAACAAUCUCCUGAAAUUGCUAUUGAGUCAAUGAUGAUGCUUAGGGUGACAUCCACAGAGGCGAUGUUAAUACGUUUGAUUGAAUCGAAAGCCAAAGGCUGAUUGAAACGCUCCCGAGCCCGUUUCCAGGAUAUAAUCCAUAUUGACAAAGUUAUACAAUCGAAGAUCGGUUUCCCAGAACAGCAGACUCUCUUAACAGCUGAACGACUGGAAACUCUGUCAAGCAUUAGGCAGACAUAAGCUGCAGUUGACUCUUGAGUGUGGACUUCAGGACAAACGAGGCGCCUUACACUCACCAGUGGGGUCACCAGGUUCCCUCACUCUAAAACGGUCCCAACAUCUCAACAGAUCACUUGCAUUCCCAUAAAACACUGCUGAGCUAAUGAACAUUGCCACAACGCCAAAAUAAAGGGUACUCCAGGCCCAAUGUCACCGCGGUACCAAUCCGGGCUCCUUCAGCCGCCAUCCAGGUUGAGCAUUGUGGGUCCCAGCAGAAGGAUAAUUAUGCCCAUGGGCUCGCAACUAUCCACGGACUUCUCACAGCAGCAGUGGAACAACAUGGUGGCCAAGCAAGAGGCACCCCAAUACAACAAUCGCCACAGAUCAUUGUCUGGUGACAAUCAGCAACCCACGGUAUCCUAGCAACCAGGCCAUGUUCGCACAGCAACAAUAACAUCAGCAGCAGCAAGACUCGGUUCAGCCAUCUUCAAUGCUUGGACAGCAACCUAAUUGCAGCAGUUUAUUAAGACGCCAGCUCAGUUGACUCACACCGCUCAGAGCAGAUCAGCGGGCUUUCAUGUGGCAGCACAACAAAUCAAAGAGAUCCAUGCGAGGUCAGCCCUCUCAACAGUGCCAUACCCAUGACGAUGAAGUCCUCCAACUCGCCCCAGUACUCACCUUGGUGUCAGGAAAAGGUUCAAGGUCACAUGGGCUUUGGUGACCUUUGCAAGAUUGCAUGUUGGACUGGAGUGAUGAGACAUUUUCCAUUUCAAUUAAGAUUGCAUUGCAAUUAUUUUCUCUUUAAUCGAUACUCAGAGUGAUUGUUAUUACGAAAGGAAUACUUAUGCGUUCUAUUGAUAAACGUCUCCAAACAUAUUAGCCUGAGAUUGAUGUUGGACCCUUGGAUAUUUAGUGUUGAAAUUAAUGGAGUUUUUAGACAAAACUGGAAUGUUAGCGCAUUUCAUAUCCCAUCCUAUAUCGCCAAAUUGAUGGUUUGACUUUUAGAUAUUUGGAAAUGAGGAGGUGAAAAAGAAACAAACACUGUUACAUGUCAGUUUUAAUUCACCCAAAGUAUUUUUUAUUUAACCAACAGCCCCAUGAUCAUCAUGACCUUGCUUGUUCAUUGCCCUCAGACCCUUUGUUAAAAAAAUAAACAAAAUGACUAAGUGAAGUUAACAACAAUGCAUCUUCCUUUUUUUCAGACACUAAUUAACGAAAUUAAACCGGCCAAUUAGAAAAACAUCCUGUUGCAUCAGUUAGUUAUACCUCGGAAGAUCAGUUAUGAAUAAAAUUUAAACACAUGCUACUUUCUAAGAUCCUGUAUUGUUCGUGUUAUAGCCUUGCCUUCUGUUGUGAACAAUAACUAUAAUUGAAGAUCUCAUCUUGGAAUUGUGGGAUGGGUCGGAAACGAGUGGCAUAGUUUAAAAUAAAAUUGCAGAAUGACAAAGCAUACCAAGUCACGUGGCCAGCCAUAAAGUCGUGUGGCAUGUCACAUUGUGGAAUGUGACCAGCGAAUACAUUUCAUGUAGUAUGGGCAUUAUAAUGCUGUCAAUUAUUUGAUAUAUAUGUUUUUGUGUAAUGAAGUCAAAAUUGGUAAUACAAAUUAAGUGAAUGUUACUUGUUAAAAGCAGUUAUAUAAAGAAUUAGUUUAAGCCAAAAUGAAGUAAGUCUUAGUUACAUGUAUUAUUUAAUAUUCUGAAUUAUUACUCGAGAUUUUGGAAAAACUUAGCAUUUAGAGUUUGCAUACGCUGACUUUAUGCUUAAGCAAAGCUGUUUAAAUAAUACUAGUAACUUGUACAAAAUGUCAUAUUUAUUGUCUUCUUUUCAUUAAAUAAAACAUAUCUCAGUAUUGUUUUAUCAGUAAUAUAGCUAGACAUGCUAGUUUUUUUUAAAGAAAGAUUAAACAUUUUGACACUUCUAUUUUGAUCUUUCUGUAUUUCCGUCUGUAUACAAUACGUGUUACUUUGCUUAGAGGAGUCAGUAUUUUAUCAAGAAUCGUGUGUAGUCUCGUAAAAUUAAAAAAGUAAAAUAUUAAUUUAUUACCACAAACUUGUUUUAUCUUCGGUAAAUUGUAAAUUCUGUAUUGACAAUUGGUUUUAUUAUUAAAUAUUAGCACAAAUGUAUCAUAUUUUAAAAGCUGUAUACAUGUUCAAAACGCUGAUAAUAGGCUCGAAAAGCCUAAGUUGUCAUCAUUUAAAGAAAGAUUGUUUGAAAUGAAUAAAAUUUGAAAGGUUAUCUUAACUAAAAUUGCUAUGGUUUGUUUAAGGAUAUGAAAAGACUAUAAUUCUAUGGAAUGCUUUCAAUGAAUUAAUCUAUAAUGAUGAGAUUAUUCGUGAAUACUAACCAACGUUAUAAGUGUUAAUAGCUUAUGGUGGAUCACACACUUAUUACUACCAUGCUCAUAUCUAGUGUUGACGUAUGUAUUCGGACAUAAUAGUUCAUGAUUCUUUGUAAACACUGUGCAGGCUCUAAUAGACUAAUAAAAACCAGAUAUUAAUGCGCGUAAAUGAGUAUAAUAACUUGACC